GACGAACGCUGGCGGCGUGCUUAACACAUGCAAGUCGAACGGAAAGGCCCUGCUUUUGUGGGGUGCUCGAGUGGCGAACGGGUGAGUAACACGUGAGUAACCUGCCCUUGACUUUGGGAUAACUUCAGGAAACUGGGGCUAAUACCGGAUAGGAGCUCCUGCUGCAUGGUGGGGGUUGGAAAGUUUCGGCGGUUGGGGAUGGACUCGCGGCUUAUCAGCAUGUUGGUGGGGUAGUGGCUUACCAAGGCUUUGACGGGUAGCCGGCCUGUGAGGGUGACCGGCCAAAUUGGGACUGAGAUACGGCCCAGACUCCUACGGGAGGCAGCAGUGGGGAAUAUUGCACAAUGGGCGGAAGCCUGAUGCAGCAACGCCGCGUGCGGGAUGACGGCCUUCGGGUUGUAAACCGAUUUCGCCUGUGACGAAGCGUGAGUGACGGUAAUGGGUAAAGAAGCACCGGCUAACUACGUG
rnacentral:rRNA from 1 species